rnacentral:rRNA from 1 species
UACGUAGGGAGCAAGCGUUGUCCGGAAUCAUUGGGCGUAAAAGCGCGCGUAGGCGGCCCUGUAAGUCCGUUGUGAAAGUCAAAGGCUCAACCUUUGAAAGCCGAUGGAUACUGCAGGGCUAGAGUCCGGAAGAGGCGAGUGGAAUUCCUGGUGUAGCGGUGGAAUGCGCAGAUAUCAGGAGGAACACCAAUAGCGAAGGCAGCUCGCUGGGACGGUACUGACGCUAAGGCGCAAAAGCGUGGGGGAGCGAACAGG